UACGUAGGGGCCAAGCGUUGUCCGGAUUUAUUGGGCGUAAAGAGCUCGUAGGCGGUUCGGCAAGUCGAAUGUGAAAUCUCCACGCUCAACGUGGAGGGGUCAUUCGAUACUGCCGUGACUUGAGUACGGUAGGGGAGUGUGGAAUUCCCGGUGUAGCGGUGAAAUGCGCAGAGAUCGGGAAGAACAUCGGUGGCGAAAGCGCUCUACUGGACCGCAACUGACACUCAGGGACGAAAGCUAGGGGAGCGAAUGGG
rnacentral:rRNA from 1 species